UAGGAAAUAGUGUAGUGGAAGCACCAAGAGUUUUGCCCUCUUUAGGAGGGGUUCAAGUCCCUUUUUUCUAA
rnacentral:tRNA from 1 species